rnacentral:rRNA from 1 species
UUAAGUCCCGCAACGAGCGCAACCCCUACUGCCAGUUACUAACAGGUAACGCUGAGGACUCUGGCGGAACUGCCGGUGGACAAACCGGAGGAAGGUGGGGAUGACGUCAAGUCCUCAUGGCCUUUAUGCUUAGGGCUACACACGUGCUACAAUGGCAGGUACAGAGGGCUGCGAAGCCGCGAGGUGGAGCGAAUCCCAGAAAACCUGUCUCAGUCCGGAUUGAAGUCUGCAACUCGACUUCAUGAAGGCGGAAUCGCUAGUAACCGCGAAUCAGCAGGUCGCGGUGAAUACGUUCCCGGGCCUU